CAGCAAGUGUGACUGAGAAAUUCACUUCCAAGUGAAUUUUCCAACUGGUCUCCACUACAACUCUAACGUGGACAAAUCCAGUAUUUCCAUCUUAACUACUCUAGUAGAAAGGUGAUUGUCCUCAGUUAUUUUAUUAUAAAAGGCAUUGUAAAAUGUGUUAUAGGUCACUUCUGAAGGUUUCAAGGAGCUGUAAUGGCCAGAGUAUGUCUUUCAAAACUAUAAAACAGGUUCUUGGCAAUACACCAGGAAAGCAUCUCUGCUGUUUUCAAAUUCAGGUGCCUAGUGGACUGAUGUCUCCCACUUAGGCACAGAGGCAGUGAGAGGAACCCAGACCUCCCCUUUCCUCAUGAAACCAGACCAGACCAAUCCUCCUGUGCUUUUACACUUCAGGCCAGUGAAGAUUGUGCCCCCUCUUCUUUUGACAGUAGGGUUGAAGACUUCUCCUUCUGAAGCUUGUAAUUACAGCAAUAACACAAAGGGGAGGGUUGGGGGGCUUCAAGACUUUCAGUCUUGAAGACAGAAGAACCCCCCACUGUCCUGUGCUGGGUGAAGAACCAAUGAAAACAGGGAAUUGAUGCUGGCUGCUGGAUCUGGGAUCCUGCAAACCAGGCAG